rnacentral:rRNA from 1 species
GAUGAACGCUGGCGGCGUGCCUAAUACAUGCAAGUCGAGCGAACAGACGGGGAGCUUGCUCCUCUGACGUUAGCGGCGGACGGGUGAGUAACACGUGGAUAACCUACCUAUAAGACUGGGAUAACUUCGGGAAACCGGAGCUAAUACCGGAUAAUAUAUUGAACCGCAUGGUUCAAUAGUGAAAGACGGUUUUGCUGUCACUUAUAGAUGGAUCCGCGCCGCAUUAGCUAGUUGGUAAGGUAACGGCUUACCAAGGCAACGAUGCGUAGCCGACCUGAGAGGGUGAUCGGCCACACUGGAACUGAGACACGGUCCAGACUCCUACGGGAGGCAGCAGUAGGGAAUCCUCCGCAAUGGGCGAAAGCCUGACGGAGCAACGCCGCGUGAGUGAUGAAGGUCUUCGGAUCGUAAAACUCUGUUAUUAGGGAAGAACAAAUGUGUAAGUAACUAUGCACGUCUUGACGGUACCUAAUCAGAAAGCCACGGCUAACUACGUG